GCGAGCGGCGGACGGGUGAGUAAUGCCUAGGAAUCUGCUGGUAGUGGGGGAUAACGCUCGGAAACGGACGCUAAUACCGCAUACGUCCUACGGGAGAAAGCAGGGGACCUUCGGGCCUUGCGCUAUCAGAUGAGCCUAGGUCGGAUUAGCUAGUUGGUGAGGUAAUGGCUCACCAAGGCGACGAUCCGUAACUGGUCUGAGAGGAUGAUCAGUCACACUGGAACUGAGACACGGUCCAGACUCCUACGGGAGGCAGCAGUGGGGAAUAUUGGACAAUGGGCGAAAGCCUGAUCCAGCCAUGCCGCGUGUGUGAAGAAGGUCUUCGGAUUGUAAAGCACUUUAAGUUGGGAGGAAGGGCAGUUACCUAAUACGUAAUUGUUUUGACGUUACCGACAGAAUAAGCACCGGCUAACUCUGUGCCAGCAGCCGCGGUAAUACAGAGGGUGCAAGCGUUAAUCGGAAUUACUGGGCGUAAAGCGCGCGUAGGUGGUUCGUUAAGUUGGAUGUGAAAUCCCCGGGCUCAACCUGGGAACUGCAUUCAAAACUGACGAGCUAGAGUAUGGUAGAGGGUGGUGGAAUUUCCUGUGUAGCGGUGAAAUGCGUAGAUAUAGGAAGGAACACCAGUGGCGAAGGCGACCACCUGGACUGAUACUGACACUGAGGUGCGAAAGCGUGGGGAGCAAAC
rnacentral:rRNA from 1 species